AUAGGAUUAGGCUGCUGGCGGUGAGAUAAUGGUGGACCAACAUGUUUGAUGUUGAACUCUGACAGACUGGAUUCAGGCCAUGAGAUGGUAUUUAAUGGUGAUGUUGUCUGAGUGAAUGACAGGACAGGAUCAUCUGUAAUGCUCCCUCAG